ACGCUGUUAGACGGAUAGCUUGGUUUUGGUUUGAGAAAGACGUGGCAAGCUGCGAUAAGCUUAGGGAAGCUGCAUGCAAGCGUUGAUCCUAAGAUAUCUUAAUCAUCCUGAGAAGGAAUAUCACGCCGGGAAUUGAAACAUCUUAGUACCGGCAGGAAAAGAAAAUAAAAACAAUGAUUCCCUUAUUAGCAGAGAGCGAAAAGGGAAAAGGGCAAACCGAAUCUGCUCUUGAAAAAGAGUUAGAGAUGUGGUGAGCAUAAACUUCUAAGUCGUUGAGUCAAAUUUCUCUGGAACGAGAAGCCUUAGAGGGUGAUAGCCCCGUAGACGAAGAUGAUAUGAAGUUGCUCAAAGAGUAGGGCUCCCUGGAUUGGGGGUCUGAAUAUGGCAGGAUUAACUGCCAACCCUAAAUAUAACCAAAGUCCGAUAGCGCACUAGUACCGCGAGGGAAAGCUGAAAAGUUCUCUUGACAGAGAGUGAAAAGACUUGAAAUCUGACAGCUACAGUUUGUUACUGCUUUUGGCGCAUUUAAUGCGUCGGGGUUGUAACGUACGUUUCGAAGAACGGGCCAGGGAGUUUAUUUGUGUGGCAAGGCUAACUUUCUAUGAAAGGUAACCGAAGCGAAAGCAAGUUGGAAACAGCGUUAGUCACAUGGACAAGACCUGAAGCCAGGUGAUCUAUUCAUGGGCAAGGUGAAGUCUCUCGAAAGGGGGAUGGAGGCCUGAACCGGUGUUGUGUACAUGCACUCGAAUGAUCUGUGAAUAGGGGUGAAAAGCUUAUCUAACCUGGUGAUGGCUGGUUCCUGCUGAAAUAUGCCUUCGUAUAGUCUUGUUCUGUUUGUCAGCGGGGUAAAGUACGGAUAAAAUUUGCAGGGGCUAAUGCCUACGGAAUUUUUUCCAACUCAGAAACUGCUGACUGCAUAGAACAGGAAACAGGGGCAGUGUGUAAGAUACUGUUCCGAGACCGGAACAACGGAGACUAGAGUUAAGGUCCUUAAAUUCAUGCUAAGUGUAUCAAAAGGUGUCCUAAACCUGAGACACUAGGGAUGUAAGCUUAGAAGCAGCUAUCAUUUAAAGAAAGCGUAACAGCUCACCUAUCGAGGCUUGGGGCCCUGAAAAUGGACAGGGCUAAGCAUGAUACCGAUACUCUAGAGGCGCUCGGAAGAGCGUUCUGGUAAGCAGGCGUCUUUUCUGCACAGAAGUUUUCCUUAAAGGGAGAAUGGAGCGGGAAGGAAUGAGAAUCCUGGUGGUAGUAGGAUGUGAUUUUUCUGAGAAUGAAAAACGUCGAAAGGGUAAGGUUUCCUUGGCAAUAUAUGUUAGCCAAGGGUUAGUCAGAACCUAAGUCGUAUCUUAACUGAGUACGACGAUGGACAACAGGUUAAUAUUCCUGUACUGGUUAAACCUUACAAGUAUGGAUCGCUUUCGGAUAAGUAAACACCCUGAAGGGUGUUCUGGUGGAGAAACAAAAGGAGCGUAAUGCUUAGAUCUUUGUGAAUCUGUCAGACAAAAUUGCUGAUUCCAGGAGCCAGUGAAAAGUCCAUAUAUUUGGUUUAGUCAUCUGUACCCACAACCGGCACUGGUGCCCUGGCUGAGAAGGCUAAGACGUGAAAGGGAAAACCAAUUAAGGGAAUUCGGCAAGUUAGUCCUGUAGCUUAGGCUUAAGGGAUGUCUAUUUUUGUGUCUCUAGAAAUAUGGGUGCAUUUAUAGAUCUCAGUAACAAGGACGGCCCGACUGUUUACCAAAAACGUAGCCAAGUGCUAAUCUGAAAAGACUUGUAUACUUGGUGAGACCUGCCCAGUGGUGGUGUGUGAAACUUCUUUUCAAGGGAGCUAAGCCCCAUCAAACGGCGGGGGUAACUAUGACCCUCUUAAGGUGAAAUACGUUGCCUUACGGUCUGCGAAAGCAGAACGCUCCAAGAGUCAUGGUUUAGGUAAAUAGAUAAACCAAAUGGAGAAAAUCGAGCUAUAUGCUGGAACAUCUCGGUGAAGCUUUGUAGGAUAUUAUCGUCGUGAGAUGAUAACGAACCCUAAAAAUCAAAGUGAAGAGACAAUCAGCAGGGAAGAUUUCUAAUCUAAGAAAAACCCUCAGAGACUAUACGCUUGACAUUAAGAUAACUUAAGGGAAAGUUUGAUAAAGAAAACCGUAGGUUGUCUUUAUGAAGAUAUAGUCCGAACUUCAUAGCGAUAUGAAGAAUUGAAUUCUGCUCAAUAGAAUUCAGAAUAACAUAAUGAGCGUAAUGCCUUGUCGUCUGAAUGGCGACGUGCAUGAAUGGUUUAACGAGGUUGUCGCUGUCCCUAGUUGGAACCUUCUGAACACACUGCGUGGUGAAAAGGCCACGGAUACCUAGUGGGAAGCUAAGACCUUGUGGAACUUUACUGCAACUUGUUGUUGUAAUUUUGAGAGAAGCACACAGAAUAAGUAGGAGCGUCGAAACACUGAUUCAGGUCGGUGUGGAGCAACCGUGUAAUACUACUUGCUUUUUUUAAGAUUGCUUACUCUUUUAGAGAACAGCAGCAGGCGGGCAGUUUGGCUGGGGCGGCGCCCUGUCGAAAAAAUAUCGAUAGGACCCAAAGACAAGCUCAUCCGGCUUGGAAAUCCGGAGUUGAGUGCGAGGGCAAAAGUUUGUCUGACUGUAUUUUGAAAAGCAAGAAAUGCAGGCUCGAAAGAGUGGCCUAGUGAACCCACAUGCUCUUUUAAUAGGAGCUGUGUCUGAUAGAAAAGUUACCCCAAGGAUAACAGGCUUGUCGCCCCCGAUAGUCCAUAUUGACGGGGCGGUUUGGUACAUCGCUGUCGGCUCUUCCUAUCCUGCGCGUGCAGAAGCGUGCAAGGGUGUCGGAGUUCACGCAUUAAAAGGGAUCGUUAGCUGGGUUAAGAACGUCGCGAGACAGUUUGUAUGAUAUCUACUAGGUGUGUUGUUGUCUGAGUGGAACGAACUUGUAGUACGAGAGGAACCAGGUUCGGGUGCCUCUGGUGAGCAGUUGUCAAAUGGCAGGCUGCAUAGCUACGCACUGCACGGAUAAGAGCUGAAUGCAUCUAAGCUCGAAGCCGUCCGCAAAACGAGACAACAAAAGCCGUCAUAGAAGAUGACGUUGAUAGAGUUGCUGUGUAAGAUUCAAGUUUUUGGUGAGGCGAGAAUUUCAGCAGACAACUACUAAAAGCUUUAUUUGUAAUAU
rnacentral:rRNA from 1 species